rnacentral:lncRNA from 1 species
CCACUGUCAGAUUCCUCAUGGAACCAGACCUCUCCGAUGGACGAUCCUCAAACAAGCUUCUGCAUCAGGCAAAUUUCAGACGAACUUCUCUAAUAAAAAGUCCCUGUCCGAGCUUCUACAACAGAUGACUUCCACCUGCAGCAUCGAUGCCCAAGGCACUCAGCAACAGUGGACUCAUCAGCAACCUCAGAAAUAUCUGAGCCACUCUUAGAUUGC